GACGAACGCUGGCGGCGUGCUUAACACAUGCAAGUCGAACGGAAAGGCCCUGCUGUUGUGGGGUGCACGAGUUGCGAACGGGUGAGUAACACGUGAGUAACCUGCCCUUGACUUUGGGAUAACUUACGGAAACUGGGGCUAAUACCGGACAGGAGCUACCGCUGCAUGGUGGGGGUUGGAAAGUUUCGGCGGUUGGGGAUGGACACGCGGUUUAUCAGCUUGUUGGUGGAGUAUUGGCUUGCCAAGGCUUUGCCGGGUAGCCGGCCUGAGAGGGUGAACAGCCACAAUGGGACUGAGAUACGGACCAGACGCCUACGUGAGGCAGCAGUGGGGAAUAUUGCAGAGUGGGCGGAAGCCAGAUGCAGAAACGCCGCGUGCGGGAUGACGGCCUUCGGGUUAUAAACCGCUUUGGACUGUGACGAAGCGUGAGUGACGGUAAUGGGUAAAGAAGCACCGGCUAACUACGUG
rnacentral:rRNA from 1 species